rnacentral:rRNA from 1 species
ACGCUGGCGGCACGCCUAACACAUGCAAGUCGAACGAAGUAGCAAUACUUAGUGGCAGACGGGUGAGUAACAUGUAGGUAUCUACCCUUUGGCCUGGAAUAACACGAGGAAACUUGUGCUAAUACCGGAUAAGUCUUUACGGAGAAAGCUUUAUGCACCAUUGGAUGAGCCUGCACUUGAUUAGUUUGUUGGUGGGGUAAUGGCCUACCAAGACUGUGAUCAAUAGCUGAUUUGAGAGGAUGAUCAGCCACAUUGGGACUGAGACACGGCCCAAACUCCUACGGGAGGCAGCAGUGGGGAAUCUUGCACAAUGGAGGAAACUCUGAUGCAGCGAUGCCGCGUGAGUGAAGAAGGCCCUUGGGUUGUAAAGCUCUUUCGUCGGGGAAGAAAAUGACUGUACCCGAAUAAGAAGGUCCGGCUAACUUCGUGCCAGCAGCCGCGGUAAUACGAAGGGACCUAGCGUAGUUCGGAAUUACUGGGCUUAAAGAGUUCGUAGGUGGUUGAAAAAGUUAGUGGUGAAAUCCCAGAGCUUAACUCUGGAACUGCCAUUAAAACUUUUCAGCUAGAGUAUGAUAGAGGAAAGCAGAAUUUCUAGUGUAGAGGUGAAAUUCGUAGAUAUUAGAAAGAAUACCAAUUGCGAAGGCAGCUUUCUGGAUCAUUACUGACACUGAGGAACGAAAGCAUGGGUAGCGAAGAGGAUUAGAUACCCUCGUAGUCCAUGCCGUAAACGAUGUGUGUUAGACGUUGGAAAUUUAUUUUCAGUGUCGCAGCGAAAGCGAUAAACACACCGCCUGGGGAGUACGACCGCAAGGUUAAAACUCAAAUGAAUUGACGGGGACCCGCACAAGUAGUGGAGCAUGUGGUUUAAUUCGAAGAUACGCGCAGAACCUUACCAACACUUGACAUGUUCGUCGCGACUCUAAGAGAUUAGAGUUUUCGGUUCGGCCGGACGAAACACAGGUGCUGCAUGGCUGUCGUCAGCUCGUGUCGUGAGAUGUUGGGUUAAGUCCCGCAACGAGCGCAACCCUCAUUUUUAGUUGCCAUCAUUAAGUUGGGCACUCUGAAAGAACUGCCAGUGAUAAGCUGGAGGAAGGUGGGGAUGACGUCAAGUCCUCAUGGCCCUUACGUGUUGGGCUACACACGUGCUACAAUGGUAUCUACAAAAGGAAGCAAGACUGCGAGGUCAAGCAAAUCCUUAAAAGAUACCUCAGUUCGGAUUGCACUCUGCAACUCGAGUGCAUGAAGCUGGAAUUACUAGUAAUCGUGGAUCAGCGUGCCACGGUGAAUGCGUUCCCGGGUCUUGUACACACCGCCCGUCACACCAUGGGAGUUGGUUCUACCUUAAGGCAAGGUUUAAAAUCCUUGACCACGGUAUAGUCAGCGACUGGGGU